rnacentral:lncRNA from 1 species
CGGCUGACCUCGAACUCCUGACCUCAGGUGAUCUGCCCACCUUGGCUUCUCAAAGUGCUGGUAUUACAAAUACCUGCAAGAACAAACCCAUUGAGAUGGCUACAGAAUGAGAAGGGAAGCUUUUUCAUGGUGUAAGAAGUAAGAAAAAUUGAUUAGGAAGAACUCUGUGGGUAAGGAGAAAGAAAACCUACUAGGAGACCAUUAUUGCAGUGAAGAGCAUAGAACAAGGCUCUCUGGAAACUUAAGGGAAUCAUAAUAUGCCUGAGAAAACAUAAACAAAAAUUAUCUUAAUGACAAAUAAGUGCUUCGGAAAUAAACAAAGGCCAAAAUCUGUUAGAGAUGGUAGGUAGACAGCUCUCAUAUUUCCGUGGAUUGCAUCCUCAUGAAGGAUUUUCAACUUGUCUUUCAUUUUGAAAUUGAAUAAAUAUUGGAAUGCAUUAUCAUCCACCCUCCCUACAUUCAUCUAUAAAAGGAGACAUGACAGAUGUAAAGUUCCUAUCAAUAUGUGAACAGCAGAGGGAAAAAUGAGGCUGCACCCUGAAUUGAAGUGAUCCUAUCUCUUUAAGCCUCUUUCACACUGGAGAGCUACAGGAAGCCUGAGUUUGAAAUCAUUUGGUCCAGACAGAAGAGGAGAAGCAAGGACCGAGUGUCAUGAAGAGGGAAACAUUGCCAGACUGUCAGAGGUUACCUAAUAUCCUUUGAUGGGUUUCCUCCUGUUUCCCUGAAUCUGGGAUGACUGUCCCCUUGAACUGCUCCGGUAUCUUAGCCAAUGGACAAUGUAUUGUUACUCCCCUCCUUAUCUAUUCGUGGUUUUUGCACACAUACCAUGAACUCAUAAGUGUUGAAGGAUCUCGACGUGUAAAAAUAUUUGUAAGAACAAGUUCAGUGACUAGAAAUUUGCUAGCUGGUUUGAAAUAAAGAGAUACACAUAAAACUAUAUUAUGAACUGGGAUCACCCAAAUUAUCUUCUGCAGGACAUUAUUCUACUAGAAAAUAUGGACAAAAUCAUAAGGACAAUUGUCAGUUUGAUGCUGACAAAAUUUUGUAAAAUUCCUUAUAUUAAAACCACUCUUCACUAUUAGCAGGAGACUACACAUGUUCUAAUGGUCUGAGAAAUACUGCAGUAAAUAAAUCUGGUUAAUUUUGUUUAAACCAAA